UACAGAGGUCUCAAGCGUUGUUCGGAUUCAUUGGGCGUAAAGGGUGCGUAGGCGGCGCGGUAAGUCGGGUGUGAAAGUCUCGGAGCUUAACUCCGAAACUGCAUUCGAUACUGCCAUGCUUGAGGACUGGAGAGGAGACUGGAAUUUACGGUGUAGCGGUGAAAUGCGUAGAUAUCGUAAGGAAGACCAGUGGCGAAGGCGGGUCUCUGGACAGUUCCUGACGCUGAGGCACGAAGGUCAGGGGGAGCAAACGGG
rnacentral:rRNA from 1 species